GGAUUAGUGGCGAACGGGUGAGUAAUACGUGAGUAACCUACCUUUAACUCUGGGAUAAGCCUGGGAAACUGGGUCUAAUACCGGAUACGACCAAUCUCCGCAUGGGGUGUUGGUGGAAAGCGUUAUGUAGUGGUUAUAGAUGGGCUCACGGCCUAUCAGCUUGUUGGUGAGGUAACGGCUCACCAAGGCGACGACGGGUAGCCGGCCUGAGAGGGUGACCGGCCACAUUGGGACUGAGAUACGGCCCAG
rnacentral:rRNA from 1 species